GAUGAACGCUAGCGGCAGGCCUAACACAUGCAAGUCGAGGGGGAGGUUACUUUCGGGUAACUGAGACCGGCGUACGGGUGCGUAACGCGUAUACAAUCUGCCUUUCACUGGGGGAUAGCCCGAAGAAAUUUGGAUUAAUACCCCAUAGUAUAGUAAUACGGCAUCGUGAUGCUAUUAAAGCUUAGGUGGUGAAAGAUGAGUAUGCGUUCUAUUAGCUAGUUGGAGAGGUAACGGCUCCCCAAGGCGAUGAUAGAUAGGGGUUCUGAGGGGGAUGUCCCCCACACUGGUACUGAGAUACGGACCAGACUCCUACGGGAGGCAGCAGUGAGGAAUAUUGGACAAUGGUCGGAAGACUGAUCCAGCCAUGCCGCGUGCAGGAUGAAGGUCUUAUGGAUUGUAAACUGCUUUUGUAAGGGAAGAAUAAGGGCUACGCGUAGUUUGAUGACGGUACCUUACGAAUAAGCAUCGGCUAACUCCGUG
rnacentral:rRNA from 1 species